rnacentral:rRNA from 1 species
UACGGAGGGUGCGAGCGUUGUCCGGAAUUAUUGGGCGUAAAGAGCUUGUAGGCGGUUUGUCGCGUCUGCCGUGAAAAUCCGGGGCUCAACCCCGGACUUGCGGUGGGUACGGGCAGACUAGAGUGUGGUAGGGGAGACUGGAAUUCCUGGUGUAGCGGUGGAAUGCGCAGAUAUCAGGAGGAACACCGGUGGCGAAGGCGGUCUCUGGGCAUUACCUGACGCUGAGGAGCGAAAGUGUGGGGAGCGAACAGG